UACGUAGGGCGCAAGCGUUGUCCGGCAUUAUUGGGCGUAAAGAGCUCGUAGGCGGUCUGUCGCGUCGGCUGUGAAAACUCGGGGCUCAACUCCGAGCUUGCAGUCGAUACGGGCAGGCUAGAGUUCGGCAGGGGAGACUGGAAUUCCUGGUGUAGCGGUGAAAUGCGCAGAUAUCAGGAGGAACACCGGUGGCGAAGGCGGGUCUCUAGUACGGUACUGACGCUGAGACGCGAAAGCGUGGGGAGCGAACAGG
rnacentral:rRNA from 1 species